UGGUAGAUUGUUGUUUUGGUAACACAAAUGGAUACAACUUGAUAUCCAUUUAGACAAUCUCUGUUUUGAAAUAGUUUGACCCUUGGAACAUUCUGUUAUAGAGAGAAAUAGUCUAGAUGACUUCCUGAAUGUUUUUGUCCUUUCUAGGUAGAAAGCUAGCGCUCUGCAAACAUCUAGCGUGUGAAGUGAUGCCUCCCUGCGGUCGGCAUGCGGUUUCAGAAAAAACACAGGGAGAACACCAUGGCCCAACAGAUGUCCAAUGAAUGAAGUCUACUGUCUUCACUGGCGGCGUGUGGCUUUGGGGAAAAAGAAAGAGCGGAAGAGAGACACUCCAUGAACACUGAGGAAGUUCCAUCUCAGACUACACAGUGGUAGAAAGGAACUACAGGGGUGGUUAGUCUGCACCACACCUUAUGCCCUCAGUUUGAAGCAUGAGGAGAGGAAGGGCACAGGCACGGACCAACAGACACUGCUAGCAAAAAUCUUCCUGUCUCAGAAGCAUAGCGCGCAUGCAUGCCCACAGUGGAAUACAGGUGUCCUAAAAGGAGGAAGAUAAUUAAGGAGGAUGGUAGUAGAGAAGAUUUUUUCCAGCCAAUGUCACUGUAACACCAAAGUGAUGUAAAGAGUAGGUUCCCUCUCUCUUCCCAACCAGCAUUACUGCUUUUGAGGCAGUUCAACUAGCUAGACACAGACUGCUAAUACAAUUCUAAUAGUUACACUAAGAGCAAUUUUUGCAGCAAUCCAAAUUAUCUGAAUUUUAUUAAUAUAAAGUUGGAUUUGGUUUCAUUGGUGAUACUAAUAUAAGGGCAUCACAUAUUCCAGAAUCUUUAUUAAAGGGUCAAGUUAUUUGACAAGUAUAAUUCGUAUUGAAUUUCUUGGCCAAAUUUGUUCCCCACUAUAUGGUCUAAAUAUAUUUCAUAUACCUCUUAUAUAUCCUUCAGAUAUAUCACUUCAUCUGUGUCAAACAGAAAGGUCACAGGAACUCUGGCAACACCAUAGGACCUAGAAUAUACUAUGCAUACCGUGGUUAUGCCUACAAUUAAACACCCAUGGCUGGACUGUGUCAGCUAACUUGGGUUGUGUGGCUCAGGUUGUGAGGCUGUAAAAUUGUGGUGUACACAUUUGGGCUCAGGCUGGCGCCGCGGCGCUAGGUCCCAGGUCCCAGUCAGGUCCCAGAUCUCAGGCUCCAGCGCAUGCCUGAAUGUCUACACCACAAUUUUAUAGCCCUGCAGCCUGAACCAUCUGACACGAGCCAGCUGACACAAGCCACCUGCAGGUGUUUAAGUGCAGUGUAGACAUACUCUAUAUGAAGAAUAUAGGGUAAUAUACUGUUUUAAAAUAAAAGUUUUAAUUUUUCCUGGUAUCUGAAGAACACAUAAUCAUAUUAGAAAAAUAUUGACAUUAUCUCCUAAAUUCUUUUCAUUAUCUAAGCUUUUAUUAUCUAAGUUUCUUGUGAAACAGAAAUUUUCUGAAGAUCAAAACAACCAAAAAUUUUUCUUUUACCUCAGCUAUAGUGAUGAUAGAGUCUUCCUAUUGACAUAAUGACGCCAAAAAAAGCUAAUUUAAAUGGGGUGCUAAUCAGGAUAAUUUAAAUAGUUCUUUGCUACCUAUGAAUAGCUAUGUUUGAUUUCUGGCUCUCUUUACAGCUUUUUUUAAAAAAAAAUAUAGUUGAUGGUAAAGUGAUUAUUUCUGUGCUAUCAUUUUAUGUAUACAUGAUCAAUUUAGUGGGGUUUUUUUUAUUUGGGAUGGGGUAGAGUAGACAAUUUCUUGUAAUAAUGAGAAAUCUUGUAAUACUUAAAUGUUUACUUGGAUUAAAAUUAUUGUAAUUUUAUUAAAAGAAUAAAUAAAAAUAAAAAGUUGUUUUGAUUCCACAUCCACUCAAUCCUUUGUUUCUCUGCUAAGGAUGAAAAUUUAGUGCCAAUUAUGAUUGUGGUUUUUGUGAUGUGGAUACCUGUUCCCAGAACUGUACCAAGACCUUGGAAUUUGCACUACCGAACAAGAGAGAGAAGGCUUUAUAUCCCAUUACAAAGUC